UACGUAGGGUGCAAGCGUUGUCCGGAAUUAUUGGGCGUAAAGAGCUUGUAGGCGGUUUGUCGCGUCGUUUGUGAAAACUUGGGGCUCAACCCCAAGCUUGCAGGCGAUACGGGCAGACUAGAGUACUUCAGGGGAGACUGGAAUUCCUGGUGUAGCGGUGAGAUGCGCAGAUAUCAGGAGGAACACCGGUGGCGAAGGCGGGUCUCUGGGAAGUAACUGACGCUGAGACGCGAAAGCGUGGGGAGCAAACAGG
rnacentral:rRNA from 1 species